GCGUGCGGGAAGAAGGCCUUCGGGUUGUAAACCGCUUUUGUCGGGGAAGAAAUCUCCUGGGCUAAUACCCCGGGAGGAUGACGGUACUCGAAGAAUAAGCACCGGCUAACUACGUGCCAGCAGCCGCGGUAAUACGUAGGGUGCAAGCGUUAAUCGGAAUUACUGGGCGUAAAGCGUGCGCAGGCGGUGAUGCAAGACAGAUGUGAAAUCCCCGGGCUUAACCUGGGAACUGCAUUUGUGACUGCAUCGCUGGAGUGCGGCAGAGGGGGAUGGAAUUCCGCGUGUAGCAGUGAAAUGCGU
rnacentral:rRNA from 1 species